rnacentral:rRNA from 1 species
UAAGGAAUAUUGGUCAAUGGAGGGAACUCUGAACCAGCCAUGCCGCGUGCAGGAAGACGGCCCUCUGGGUUGUAAACUGCUUUUAUUCGGGAAUAAACCUGCUUACGUGUAAGUAGCUGAAUGUACCGAAGGAAUAAGGAUCGGCUAACUCCGUGCCAGCAGCCGCGGUAAUACGGAGGAUCCAAGCGUUAUCCGGAUUUAUUGGGUUUAAAGGGUGCGUAGGCGGCUUAUUAAGUCAGGGGUGAAAGACGGUGGCUCAACCAUCGCAGUGCCCUUGAUACUGAUGAGCUUGAAUGGACUAGAGGUAGGCGGAAUGUGACAAGUAGCGGUGAAAUGCAUAGAUAUGUCACAGAACACCGAUUGCGAAGGCAGCUUACUAUGGUUUUAUUGACGCUGAGGCACGAAAGCGUGGGGAUCAAACA